UCGGAGGCAGCAGUAAGGAAUCUUCCGCAAUGGGCGAAAGCCUGACGGAGCAACGCCGCGUGAAUGAAGAAGGCUUUCGGGUCGUAAAGUUCUGUCUUUAGGGAAGAAGUCUCUCUGUGUAAAUAAUGCAGAGAGGUGACGGUACCUGAGGAGGAAGCUCCGGCUAACUACGUGCCAGCAGCCGCGGUAAUACGUAGGGAGCGAGCGUUGUCCGGAAUUACUGGGCGUAAAGGGCGCGUAGGCGGAAUCUUAAGUCAGGUGUGAAAACUCUGGGCUCAACUCGGAGACUGCAUUUGAAACUGGGGUUCUUGAGGGCAGGAGAGGAAAGUGGAAUUCCUAGUGUAGCGGUGAAAUGCGUAGAUAUUAGGAGGAACACCAGUGGCGAAGGCGACUUUCUGGACUGCAUCUGACGCUGAGGCGCGAAAGCGUGGGGAGCAAACGGGAUUAGAUACCCCGGUAGA
rnacentral:rRNA from 1 species